rnacentral:rRNA from 1 species
UGCCAGCCGCCGCGGUAACACGGGGGGCGCAAGCGUUAUUCGGAAUUAUUGGGCGUAAAGGGCGCGCAGGCGGUUAGUUUAGUCAGAUGUGAAAUCCCGGUGCUCAACGCCGGAACUGCAUUUGAAACUGGCUAACUAGAGUCAUCAAGAGGAGAUCGGAAUUACCAGUGUAGAGGUGAAAUUCGUAGAUAUUGGUAGGAACACCAGUGGCGAAGGCGGAUCUCUGGGGAUGUACUGACGCUCAGGGUCGAAAGCAUGGGGAGCAAAUAGGAUUAGAUA